UAACGCAGUGGGAGGUUGGGAGGGAAUGUCUAGUGAUUCAGCCACAUGUGAUAAAUGACCAAGUGACCACUUCCUUGGGGGUCCGCAAACCUGUGGAAGACACCCAAACUGGUUGUGGUCGACUUGAUAAAACUCUGGCUUCCUGAACUGGAAUGAAAUGCAGAUAAUUCUUUAGAGAACUUCUCUAAGAAAAGCGUCUCAUGUGAUCUGGAACAAAGAGAUUUUAUAAUCAGAUUUAUCAGGCUGUGAAGAGGGAGUUUUAGUGAACGGAAGCAGCAGCAGCAUUCUGUCACCAGGAAAUACUACUUUAUCCAGAAUUGCGUGAAAUUUGAAGUCUACAUCAAUACUAGAAAUUCACCUCUGAGAAGUGAAGGAGCCAG